UCCGGUUGAUCCUGCCGGACCUGACUGCUAUCGGAUUGAUACUAAGCCAUGCGAGUCAUUGUAGCAAUACAAGGCAUACGGCUCAGUAACGCGUAGUCAACCUAACCUAUGGACGGGAAUAACCUCGGGAAACUGAGAAUAAUGCCCGAUAGAACAUUAUACCUGGAAUGGUUUAUGUUCCAAAUGAUUUAUCGCCGUAGGAUGGGACUGCGGCCUAUCAGUUUGUUGGUGAGGUAAUGGCCCACCAAGACUAUUACAGGUACGGGCUCUGAGAGGAGUAGCCCGGAGAUGGGUACUGAGACACGGACCCAGGCCCUAUGGGGCGCAGCAGGCGAGAAAACUUUGCAAUGUGCGAAAGCACGACAAGGUUAAUCCGAGUGAUUUCUGCUAAAGGAAUCUUUUGUUAGUCCUAGAAACACUAUGAAUAAGGGGUGGGCAAGUUCUGGUGUCAGCCGCCGCGGUAAAACCAGCACCUCAAGUGGUCAGGAUGAUUAUUGGGCCUAAAGCAUCCGUAGCCGGCUCUGUAAGUUUUCGGUUAAAUCUGUACGCUCAACGUACAGGCUGCCGGGAAUACUGCAGAGCUAGGGAGUGGGAGAGGUAGACGGUACUCGGUAGGAAGGGGUAAAAUCCUUUGAUCUAUUGAUGACCACCUGUGGCGAAGGCGGUCUACCAGAACACGUCCGACGGUGAGGGAUGAAAGCUGGGGGAGCAAACCGGAUUAGAUACCCGGGUAGUCCCAGCUGUAAACUAUGCAAACUCAGUGAUGCAUUGGCUUGUGGCCAAUGCAGUGCUGCAGGGAAGCCGUUAAGUUUGCCGCCUGGGAAGUACGUACGCAAGUAUGAAACUUAAAGGAAUUGGCGGGGGAGCACCACAAGGGGUGAAGCCUGCGGUUCAAUUGGAGUCAACGCCAGAAAUCUUACCCGGAGAGACAGCAGAAUGAAGGUCAAGCUGAAGACUUUACCAGACAAGCUGAGAGGUGGUGCAUGGCCGUCGCCAGCUCGUGCCGUGAGAUGUCCUGUUAAGUCAGGUAACGAGCGAGAUCC
rnacentral:rRNA from 1 species